CGGGAUUAUUAAGUUAAACAUUAUUACAUAAUGUUAAUAAACAGUUAGGACCUGCGGCAAGGACAGUCCCGAGUCAAAGACCACGUGCAAGACACGUCUAUGUCAUAAAUAGAGUUAACUAAGAUUGAAUAUUUGUGAUUCAGAUAACAUUUAAAAGAACUAGGUCUAGAGAAACUGUCAAGAGUUACUUGAAGAAGGAUCGGUGCAAUUUUCUCAAAAC